GAGCUCAGUUGGUAGAGCAUGAAACUCUUAAUCUCAGGGACAUGGGUUCAAGCCACAAACUGGGCAAAGGAUUGCA